AUCUGUCUUAAUGCAGAAGUGGUUGCUGCUAUGUUUUGUAGCAUUUUAAAUAGUACUUAAAACAAAGUAAGUAUAAAUACAAUUUAAAAUGCUACAAAACAUAGCAGCAAUUGCUUCUGCAUUAAAACAGAU